rnacentral:misc_RNA from 1 species
GUGGAAAAUGUGGUCAGUUUGGGCACAUGCGGACGAACAAGAAUUGCCCCAAGUAUGGAGAGGAUCUUGAAACACCGGAGACAACAGAUCAAGAAAAAGUAUCAAUAAAGUUGAAUACCAUGGAUCCAUCAAAUCAAUCCCAUCAGAAAGCUCAAACUAAGAAGGUUACACCUAAAGCCACAGCAAAAAGUUCUACAACAGAAGCAUUUGAGGGUGAAAAAUCUACGUUGACGG